ACAAAUAUUUUAAGAUCAUGAAGCUGAAGAAAAACCCAUGUUGUUAGCUUAAACUCUGCCUCUAGCCCUAACUGCAAAUACCCGAGCCUCUCCCCUCUCCCCACCACUUCUCUGCCCUUGUGAUGGUGGUGACCAUGUUAGUCUAAAGUCCUCCAUUGGAAACCAGGUUUUGGGAAGAAAGAUGGAUGGUUCUUUCAGUGCCUUGAGAUGAAACAAGCUAGAAACAGACAGUUCCUGACAAAACUCCCACGGGGGCAAUUUCUGUUCUCAUUGCUGUCUGUUUUAUUUUUUUCACCUUGGAGAUAUGACUGGGGAAAUAAAAAACCAGACAGAUUUGAUGCCAUUGCAAGGGAUGACUGUACACCUUAAAGUGAGGCCUAUCCUCACAUGCUGUUUGGUGUAUAUUGUUAUUUUGCCUCAUUAAUACUCUACAGUGCUGUAGAUUGCAGACCACAAUGGGACAGUGUGUGAGUAAUCUUGAAAGCCAAAGGUAUUCCUGCAGAAGUGGAUAUCUACCUUAUAUGUAUCUGCGUAUGUGCAUGAUCUUCCAGUAACUGUAAGCCAAAGCCCAAAUAUUUCAAUGACUUCAGUUCUGUAUCAUGACAUUCCUUUACAAGAUUUACAGGAUUAUCCCAGUUUACUGGUUAAUUAUUGUGGUAUUUCAGUACUAAUCCUGCUAUAACUAUUUCUGGAACAUUGGAGUAGUCCUGCUCUUGGAAUCACUGAGCGUAUAAUUAAUUCUAUGGUGUGGUAAGUAUGUUUUAAUUACUGUGUACUAUACUGCACCCAAGAAAAAGACAAGUGUUUUGAAAUGUAGCAUGUGUAGAGAAUGUAAAAAUGUUAUUAAUCAUGUUUUCUUCAUGUGCUAAACUGCAUGUUUUGUAUACUGAAUUCUAUACUCUAAGUAUAAAGGCAUGCAAGCAAAACAGAUGCUGAUUUCUGUGUCUACAGCCUGAUCUAUCCCCUGACGGCAUGAAGAAAAGGUUAGUUUUCAAUGUUACUUUGUUGUAGCACUGGUCUGAGUUUUACAUUCCACCCAUCUUAAAGGAGAAAGACUGGAUGCCACAGUGGGGUGCAUACCCUUGAUUACCUGCUCCCUUACCAUCUUUUGUUAGCUUUGUCUCCAUGACUCCAGAUGCAAUACCAGAACACAAGGCCAGAGCUCUUUUCUGUAUGAUGUUGUAUGAUACCCACCAUUUAUCACUAUAAAUUCACUGUUUUCUGAGUAAAAAAUUAAAUGUUUAACUUCACCUAUCUUUUUAUUUCCCUUAGGAGUUUGCCUUUAAGUAUUCUACACAUUAUACUUUAUAGACAUGACCUGUUUCAAAGUUGUUGUCUUAACACAAGCUUGACCUAGUAGCUUCUGUUGCCCUGCUGCCCAGGGAAUUCUGAGUGCCAUACUGAUACUAAUUUUUUUUUUUCUUCCUCUUAGAUAUCCUGGAAUAUCCUAGGAGAAAAAGCUUUUGUAUUUUCCAGUCUUAUCACACCAGUACAGUGUCACAGCUGAAGUGCAGCUGUAUCUUCUGAGUGGCAGCAGCCCCAUGUUGGUGUGGGGACUGCUGGAAAACCCAAGCCCCCUUUUAGGAAUGUUGUUGUUUGACAAUGCUAUCAUAUUGCCUUGGGGCCUUGUUAUGCAUCUCUGCUGGCCCAGCUGGCUGCAAAAUUACUUCCAAGGAUACCAGGUUGUAUGAUGAUAGAAAGCUGCUCUUGGACCUCCCCUCUCAUGAAUUUACUGGGCCUUGUCCUGGAGGAUCUUUGCUAAUUGAAGAUUUUGAUUAGUGGUCUGUAGUAUUGCAAAUGUUGUGUAUCUCCCAUUGAAACAGAUUCUUUGUUUUGGAUCUUAUGUGUGAGUUAAGGGCAGGAUUUGGAAGGUUCCUUCUUUGGGGCAAUUGCUGAUCCUCUACAAGUGAAAUUGUCCCAGGGUGUGUGGACAUUUGAGAUGUGGUCUGGAGUCCUCACAGUGGUGUUUCUAAGCAUGAAACCAAGGAUUUGUUUCAUGUGCCUGCAAAGCAGCACAAAGGCUGAGGAUGGUGUGAAGAUUUCCUGCAAGAAGCUUCUCUGAGCUACGUAGCUAUGGUCCAGGAGGAAAAAGAGCCUUGCAAGAAUAAAGUAAUGGAUGAGAUACUUAAUUCUAUUUCUG